ACCAAACUGAACAAUUUCCACAUAAAUCGCAACAAAAUCUGAAAUAAAGAUACAGAACAGCAACAGCAACAACUUCACCUCAAUAAACAAGGACAUGCAGUAAAAACAUGCUCGAAGGUUUUAAUCUCUGAACAGUACUGCAGAUCCUGCACUAUUUGGCCAGCCAAUCAGAUCUGCAGUAUUGGCUGAAGAAUCCAUGCCCAUUUACUGGAAACCAGCCAGAAGAUCAGUUGGUAGCUCUCGAUUCCUGUCUACGCAAGGCUUAUGAGUUCCUGGAAACAAGCGGGAGGGGAAAAAGCCAGCUGACCAUGGGAAGCCCACAAGCAAGACCUGAGCACAACAUCACUCUUCCCCUCUGUGGUUCCCAAAAUGAUAUACAGAGACUUACUGCCUCUGGCAGUGGAGAGAGACAUUUUAUUAUUACUAUUAUUAUUGUUGUUGUUGUUGUUGUUGUUGUUGUUGUUAUUUAUACCCCACCCAUCUGGCUGGGUUUCCCCAGCAUGGUCAGUUAAUCAGUAAUAAGCAGAGUUCUGACAGCAAUUAUAUUCAUCAGUAUCUGCAUUAUAUCUGUUUAUAUUCAGUCAACAGGAGUAAUUUACUUCUAAAAUUUACUUUAGUCUUCCAUCACAGUUGAACCAGCCAAUCAAUUAAAUUGAUCCUGUAAAGCAAAUAUGUAUGUGUAUGUGUGCAUUACUUGAUUUCAUAUAAUUAAAAAUUAAAGACAUGAAAUAUCACACAUUUUUUAUAAAGUCAAAUAUCACCAGUAGAUGGCACUUCAUAGUCACAUAGCCAAGCACUAUGUAUAUGAAGAUUUAAGGAGACAACAGGCCAGUUGUAAUCAAACUAAAAAGGUAACCAACCUAGCAGUUUGAAAGCAUACCAAUAGUCCCCAUAGUCACCUUUGACUGGACUUAACCAUCCAGGGGUCCUUUACCUUUUUACCUUCACCUGUUGUGAAACUCUAUGCAGAAAGUUUUGGGGCAACAACUUUAUUGCUAUAGAGCAGAACUGGAGCUCAUUUCCAGAUCACCUAGCAGGAAACAAAGAUUUAGAGAUUCUCUCUACGACAUUUUCUGCAAGAUUUUGUGCUCUGGCUCUCAUUCAUUUAUCCAAAGCAAUAAGAAUAGAAAAUGAACAAAGGUGAGAUAAUAUGUGGAAGAGAGAACGAUGUUAGAACCCAUAACUCUCAUGUGUUUUAUCUGUUUGGCCUUCAUAUUAUAAUCCUGGGUUAAAUAUUUCAGGUGGUGUAAUGGGUCAGUGCAUCUGGCUGUUAACCAGAAGGUGGGUGGUUCAAGCCCACCCAGAGACAGAUGUGGACAGGAUUUCUGCAUUGUGGAAGUUGGACUAGAUGACCCUCAGGGUCCCUUCCAACUCUGCAAUUCUAUUAUUCUGCCAUUUAAAAAAUUUCGUUUGAUGGUACUUUGCGCACUGUAAAUGAGGAAGAAAUUAAGCUUGGAAUAACAAAUCCCAACCAUCCGGAAAUGCUUUCCGCGUACACUAGCAGCUACGUGGGGGGACAGACAGAGCAGGAAAGUCUCAUAGUAUAAAUGACCUCCCAUUCACACAAUUGUGGAUCCAACCACCUAUUUUUAGCUCCCUGUUCAAAGCCUUAAAAUUAAUGUCCUUCAUACUCCCAGUAUGAGACACUUAAAACAUGACCAAUCUAGCCAACCUACGUUUGUAGAUUCUCUUUCUCUCUCAAACAAUCUGGCUCAUGUAAUGGAUAUUUCAAUACCGAAGUUCAAUAUUGAGAAAGACAAUCUCAAUAGCUUUCUAUCAAGAAAUGCUGAAGAAAACGGUUAAGUUUCUCUAUCCUAAACACCACUGCACUGGUACAAUCCUUUGUCUCAAUUUGGCUCCACCAGAGCAAGAUAAUAGCUAGUGUCAUUUAAUUAGAUAGGCUUAAUAGUCCUUAAUCAGAAAUAUAAUUUCCACAUGUGAUAAGCGAUGCAACUGUUUCCACAUCUGUGUGCCACAUGCCUCUUCUAAUACACAUGAUUCUGUAACAAAACUGCAGCUGGCUAUCCAAAUAAAGAUUUUGUUUUA